GAUCAACGCUGGCGGCGUGCUUAACACAUGCAAGUCGAACGAAGUUUUUCCUUCGGGAGCAACUUAGUGGCGGACGGGUGAGUAACGCGUGGGUAACCUGCCCUGUACAGGGGGACAACAGCUGGAAACGGCUGCUAAUACCGCAUAAGCACUUAGCACUGCAUGGUGCAUAGGGAAAAGGAGCAAUCCGGUACAGGAUGGACCCGCGUCUGAUUAGCCAGUUGGCAGGGUAACGGCCUACCAAAGCGACGAUCAGUAGCCGAUCUGAGAGGAUGUACGGCCACAUUGGGACUGAGACACGACCCAGACUCCUACGGGAAGCAGCAGUGGGGAAUAUUGCACAAUGGAGGAAACUCUGAUGCAGCGACGCCGCGUGAGUGAAGAAGUAUUUCGGUAUGUAAAGCUCUAUCAGCAGGGAAGAAAAUGACGGUACCUGACUAAGAAGCACCGGCUAAAUACGUG
rnacentral:rRNA from 1 species